GACGAACGCUGGCGGCGUGCUUAACACAUGCAAGUCGAACGGAAAGGCCCUGCUUUUGUGGGGUGCUCGAGUGGCGAACGGGUGAGUAACACGUGAGUAACCUGCCCUUGACUUUGGGAUAACUUCAGGAAACUGGGGCUAAUACCGGAUAGGAGCUCCUGCUGCAUGGUGGGGGUUGGAAAGUUUCGGCGGUUGGGGAUGGACUCGCGGCUUAUCAGCUUGUUGGUGGGGUAGUGGCUUACCAAGGCUUUGACGGGUAGCCGGCCUGAGAGGGUGACCGGCCACAUUGGGACUGAGAUACGGCCCAGACUCCUACGGGAGGCAGCAGUGGGGAAUAUUGCACAAUGGGCGGAAGCCUGAUGCAGCAACGCCGCGUGCGGGAUGACGGCCUUCGGGUUGUAAACCGCUUUCGCCUGUGACGAAGCGUGAGUGACGGUAAUGGGUAAAGAAGCGCCGGCUAACUACGUGCCAGCAGCCGCGGUGAUACGUAGGGUGCGAGCGUUGUCCGGAUUUAUUGGGCGUAAAGGGCUCGUAGGUGGUUGAUCGCGUCGGAAGUGUAAUCUUGGGGCUUAACCCUGAGCGUGCUUUCGAUACGGGUUGACUUGAGGAAGGUAGGGGAGAAUGGAAUUCCUGGUGGAGCGGUGGAAUGCGCAGAUAUCAGGAGGAACACCAGUGGCGAAGGCGGUUCUCUGGGCCUUUCCUGACGCUGAGGAGCGAAAGCGUGGGGAGCGAACAGGCUUAGAUACCCUGGUAGUCCACGCUGUAAACGGUGGGUACUAGGUGUGGGGUCCAUUCCACGGGUUCCGUGCCGUAGCUAACGCUUUAAGUACCCCGCCUGGGGAGUACGGCCGCAAGGCUAAAACUCAAAGGAAUUGUCGGGGCCCCGCACAAGCGGCGGAGCAUGCGGAUUAAUUCGAUGCAACGCGUAGAACCUUACCUGGGUUUGACAUGGAUCGGGAGUGCUCAGAGAUGGGUGUGCCUCUUUUGGGGUCGGUUCACAGGUGGUGCAUGGCUGUCGUCAGCUCGUGUCGUGAGAUGUUGGGUUAAGUCCCGCAACGAGCGCAACCCUUGUUCACUGUUGCCAGCACGUUAUGGUGGGGACUCAGUGGAGACCGCCGGGGUCAACUCGGAGGAAGGUGGGGAUGACGUCAAGUCAUCAUGCCCCUUAUGUCCAGGGCUUCACGCAUGCUACAAUGGCUGGUACAGAGAGUGGCGAGCCUGUGAGGGUGAGCGAAUCUCGGAAAGCCGGUCUCAGUUCGGAUUGGGGUCUGCAACUCGACCUCAUGAAGUCGGAGUCGCUAGUAAUCGCAGAUCAGCAACGCUGCGGUGAAUACGUUCCCGGGGCUUGUACUCACCGCCCGUCA
rnacentral:rRNA from 1 species